GCCGAGGUAGCUCAGUUGGUAGAGCAAUGGACUGAAAAUCCAUGUGUCCCCAGUUCAAGUCUGGGCCUCGGCACCU
rnacentral:tRNA from 1 species